rnacentral:rRNA from 1 species
AUAAUGGGUCAGCGACUUAUAUUCUGUAGCAAGGUUAACCGAAUAGGGGAGCCGAAGGGAAACCGAGUCUUAACUGGGCGUUAAGUUGCAGGGUAUAGACCCGAAACCCGGUGAUCUAGCCAUGGGCAGGUUGAAGGUUGGGUAACACUAACUGGAGGACCGAACCGACUAAUGUUGAAAAAUUAGCGGAUGACUUGUGGCUGGGGGUGAAAGGCCAAUCAAACCGGGAGAUAGCUGGUUCUCCCCGAAAGCUAUUUAGGUAGCGCCUCGUGAAUUCAUCUCCGGGGGUAGAGCACUGUUUCGGCAAGGGGGUCAUCCCGACUUACCAACCCGAUGCAAACUGCGAAUACCGGAGAAUGUUAUCACGGGAGACACACGGCGGGUGCUAACGUCCGUCGUGAAGAGGGAAACAACCCAGACCGCCAGCUAAGGUCCCAAAGUCAUGGUUAAGUGGGAAACGAUGUGGGAAGGCCCAGACAGCCAGGAUGUUGGCUUAGAAGCAGCCAUCAUUUAAAGAAAGCGUAAUAGCUCACUGGUCGAGUCGGCCUGCGCGGAAGAUGUAACGGGGCUAAACCAUGCACCGAAGCUGCGGCAGCGACGCUGAUGCGUUGUUGGGUAGGGGAGCGUUCUGUAAGCCUGUGAAGGUGUGCUGUGAGGCAUGCUGGAGGUAUCAGAAGUGCGAAUGCUGACAUAAGUAACGAUAAAGCGGGUGAAAAGCCCGCUCGCCGGAAGACCAAGGGUUCCUGUCCAACGUUAAUCGGGGCAGGGUGAGUCGACCCCUAAGGCGAGGCCGAAAGGCGUAGUCGAUGGGAAACAGGUUAAUAUUCCUGUACUUGGUGUUACUGCGAAGGGGGGACGGAGAAGGCUAUGUUGGCCGGGCGACGGUUGUCCCGGUUUAAGCGUGUAGGCUGGUUUUCCAGGCAAAUCCGGAAAAUCAAGGCUGAGGCGUGAUGACGAGGCACUACGGUGCUGAAGCAACAAAUGCCCUGCUUCCAGGAAAAGCCUCUAAGCAUCAGGUAACAUCAAAUCGUACCCCAAACCGACACAGGUGGUCAGGUAGAGAAUACCAAGGCGCUUGAGAGAACUCGGGUGAAGGAACUAGGCAAAAUGGUGCCGUAACUUCGGGAGAAGGCACGCUGAUAUGUAGGUGAAGUCCCUCGCGGAUGGAGCUGAAAUCAGUCGAAGAUACCAGCUGGCUGCAACUGUUUAUUAAAAACACAGCACUGUGCAAACACGAAAGUGGACGUAUACGGUGUGACGCCUGCCCGGUGCCGGAAGGUUAAUUGAUGGGGUCAGCGCAAGCGAAGCUCUUGAUCGAAGCCCCGGUAAACGGCGGCCGUAACUAUAACGGUCCUAAGGUAGCGAAAUUCCUUGUCGGGUAAGUUCCGACCUGCACGAAUGGCGUAAUGAUGGCCAGGCUGUCUCCACCCGAGACUCAGUGAAAUUGAACUCGCUGUGAAGAUGCAGUGUACCCGCGGCAAGACGGAAAGACCCCGUGAACCUUUACUAUAGCUUGACACUGAACAUUGAGCCUUGAUGUGUAGGAUAGGUGGGAGGCUUUGAAGUGUGGACGCCAGUCUGCAUGGAGCCGGCCUUGAAAUACCACCCUUUAAUGUUUGAUGUUCUAACGUUGACCCGUGAUCCGGGUUGCGGACAGUGUCUGGUGGGUAGUUUGACUGGGGCGGUCUCCUCCUAAAGAGUAACGGAGGAGCACGAAGGUUGGCUAAUCCUGGUCGGACAUCAGGAGGUUAGUGCAAUGGCAUAAGCCAGCUUGACUGCGAGCGUGACGGCGCGAGCAGGUGCGAAAGCAGGUCAUAGUGAUCCGGUGGUUCUGAAUGGAAGGGCCAUCGCUCAACGGAUAAAAGGUACUCCGGGGAUAACAGGCUGAUACCGCCCAAGAGUUCAUAUCGACGGCGGUGUUUGGCACCUCGAUGUCGGCUCAUCACAUCCUGGGGCUGAAGUAGGUCCCAAGGGUAUGGCUGUUCGCCAUUUAAAGUGGUACGCGAGCUGGGUUUAGAACGUCGUGAGACAGUUCGGUCCCUAUCUGCCGUGGGCGCUGGAGAACUGAGGGGGGCUGCUCCUAGUACGAGAGGACCGGAGUGGACGCAUCACUGGUGUUCGGGUUGUCAUGCCAAUGGCACUGCCCGGUAGCUAAAUGCGGAAGAGAUAAGUGCUGAAAGCAUCUA